AUUGUACCAUUAAAUAUAAAAAGUUGCAAAGCACCCUGGUGUCCAAGUCCAGCUUGGGACAAACUCCACCAGAACACUCCAGUGUAAUGACUCAGUGAGUUAAUGAUAAUAGCUGAUAAAAUGGGUACUGUGGGCGGGUCCCGUGCUGUGCUCUGUGCGCGUGCUAUGCCACUUCACCUUCACAACUUCAUGGCGGCUGCACCAGGUCACAGAGCCGGAAAGUGGCAGUGUGCGAGGCUCUCAGUCCCUGAAGCCGCCAGCCAGGGAACAAAAAGGCGUAACAUGCUUCCCUUCAGUGGAGGACCCCUAAUGGCAAGAGGGGCUGCGUCACGAUGUGGUGAUGAUUCAGGAUGGAGAAGCGGCUGCCUCAGCCUUAUCUGGAAUGUCCUGUAACAGCUGAAACAGGACUGUUGGAUCAGAACAGACUGAAUUUCAGGAGUCAAAUAUACAAAAGGGCAUGCUUGUGAAAAUAUAGGAUUUAAGUUUCAUAAUAUCCUAAUAAAUGAGUACAUUAUAUGGAACAACUUAA